rnacentral:tRNA from 1 species
UGUUAAGGUGGCAGAGCCCGGUAAUUGCAUAAGACUUAAAACCUUAUAAUCAGAGGUUCAACUCCUCUCCUUAACAU